UACGUAGGGUGCGAGCGUUAAUCGGAAUUACUGGGCGUAAAGCGUGCGUAGGCGGUUCUCCAAGUCCGUUGUGAAAGCCCCGGGCUCAACCUGGGAAUGGCAGUGGAAACUAGGGGACUGGAAUCUGGCAGAGGGGGGUGGAAUGCCGCGUGUAGCAGUGAAAUGCGUAGAGAUGCGGCGGAACACCGAUGGUGAAGGCAGCCCCCUGGGCUGAGAUUGACGCUCAGGCACGAAAGCGUGGGGAGCAAACAGG
rnacentral:rRNA from 1 species